GAUGAACGCUGGCGGCGUGCCUAAUACAUGCAAGUCGAGCGAACAGAUGAGGAGCUUGCUCCUCUGACGUUAGCCGCGGACGGGUGAGUAACACGUGGAUAACCUACCUAUCAGACUGGUAUAACUUCGGGAAACCGGCGCUAAUACCGUAUAAUAUAUUGCACCGCAUGGUUGGAUAGUGAAAGACGGUUUUGCUGUCACUUAUAGAUGGAUCCGCGCCGCAUUAGCUAGUUGGUAAGGUAACGGCUUACCAAGGCAACUAUGCGUAGCCGACCGGAUGGGGUGGUCGGCCACCCGGGAGGUGAGACGGCCUCCAUACUCCUGCGAGAGGCAGCAGUCGGGUACCGGCGGCAAUGGUGGAAAGUCUUGCGGAGCAACGGGGAGCGUGUUACGACGGUCUUGGGAGCGUAAUGCUCGGUUACGAGUGAUGAACAAAUUUGGAAGUAACUAUGCACGGCUUGACGGUACUUGGUAAGAAAGCCACGGCUAACUACGUG
rnacentral:rRNA from 1 species